CCUACGGGAGGCAGCAGUGGGGAAUUUUGGACAAUGGGCGCAAGCCUGAUCCAGCCAUGCCGCGUGCAGGAUGAAGGCCUUCGGGUUGUAAACUGCUUUUGUGCGGAACGAAAAGACUCUGGUUAAUACCUGGGGUCCAUGACGGUACCGUAAGAAUAAGCACCGGCUAACUACGUGCCAGCAGCCGCGGUAAUACGUAGGGUGCGAGCGUUAAUCGGAAUUACUGGGCGUAAAGCGUGCGCAGGCGGUUUAUAUAAGACAGAUGUGAAAUCCCCGGGCUCAACCUGGGAACUGCAUUUGUGACUGUAUAGCUAGAGUACGGCAGAGGGGGAUGGAAUUCCGCGUGUAGCAGUGAAAUGCGUAGAUAUGCGGAGGAACACCGAUGGCGAAGGCAAUCCCCUGGGCCUGUACUGACGCUCAUGCACGAAAGCGUGGGGAGCAAACAGGAUUAGAUACCCUGGUAGUCCACGCCCUAAACGAUGUCAACUGGUUGUUGGGUCUUCACUGACUCAGUAACGAAGCUAACGCGUGAAGUUGACCGCCUGGGGAGACGCGCGAGUAGAGUAAGUAGAGUGAGNGNGAGAGNGCGAGGCGACGACGAGGGAGGAGG
rnacentral:rRNA from 1 species